UACGGGGGGGGCAAGCGUUGUUCGGAAUUACUGGGCGUAAAGGGUUCGUAGGUGGCCAACUAAGUCAGACGUGAAAUCCCUCAGCUUAACUGGGGAACUGCGUCUGAUACUGGUUGGCUUGAGUGCAGGAGAGGAACGCGGAAUUCCAGGUGUAGCGGUGAAAUGCGUAGAUAUCUGGAGGAACACCGGUGGCGAAGGCGGCGUUCUGGACUGCAACUGACACUGAGGAACGAAAGUGUGGGGAGCGAACAGG
rnacentral:rRNA from 1 species